UACGUAGGGGGCAAGCGUUGUCCGGAAUUAUUGGGCGUAAGGCGCGUGUAGGCGGCUCGGUAAGUCUGCUGUGAAAGUCCAGGGCUCAACCCUGGAAUGCCGGUGGAUACUGUCGAGCUCGAGUCCGGAAGAGGCGAGUGGAAUUCCUGGUGUAGCGGUGAAAUGCGCAGAUAUCAGGAGGAACACCGGUGGCGAAGGCGGGUCUCUGGGCCGAUAUCGACGCUGAGGAGCGAAAGCGUGGGGAGCAAACAGG
rnacentral:rRNA from 1 species